UGUCGCUAACAGAGUAGCCCGUUUACCUGCUAUCAUUUCUCUCAUUUAUCGUCUGACAGCUCGACCCUGUGAAUGCACCGCACCAUUUUUCUUCUUUUUCAGCACUGUGUAUAGGAUCACGAGGGAACUUGGCUGGGAGUUGCAGCCACAUCCCCCUUACAGUCCAGACCUCGGCCCCAGCGAUUUCCAUCUCUUCGGGCCACUGAAGGCGUUCCUUGGGGGCCGCCACUUCAGCUGCGACGACGAGGUCAAGGAUGCGGUCCGAUCAUGGCUGCUACGCGUCGAUUGGCGCCUCCGGAGUCCUCCAAAAGCCUGAUUCGCGGUCUGGUGUUUUCUUGUUUGUCUGUUUACAUUGCUCUGGACUUAAAGAGUUCAGGGAGGAACCUCAUUCAUUACAAGUUUAAAAGUAACAUGGUUUUGUCUUUAACUGUUUCUUAGCUUUAUGUAAAUAAUUCAGACUCGA